UGUGUGUGUGUGUGUGUGUGUGUGUGUGUGUGUGUGUGUAUAUACACACACAUAUACAUACAUACAUACAUACAUA
rnacentral:miRNA from 1 species